rnacentral:rRNA from 1 species
GACGUAGGGCGCGAGCGUUUGUCCGGAUUUAUUGGGCGUAAAGAGCUCGUAGGCGGUUUGUCGCGUCUGCUGUGAAAUCCCGAGGCUCAACCUCGGGCUUGCAGUGGGUACGGGCAGACUAGAGUGCGGUAGGGGAGAUCGGAAUUCCUGGUGUAGCGGUGAAAUGCGCAGAUAUCAGGAGGAACACCGGUGGCGAAGGCGGAUCUCUGGGCAACUACUGACGCUGGAGGAGCGAAAGCGUGGGGAGCGAACAGG